CCUACGGGUGGCAGCAGUGAGGAAUAUUGGUCAAUGGCCGGAAGGCUGAACCAGCCAAGUCGUGUGAGGGAAUAAGGCCCUAUGGGUCGUAAACCUCUUUUGUCAGGGAGCAAAGGCGUCCACGUGUGGACGAGAGGAGAGUACCUGAAGAAAAAGCAUCGGCUAACUCCGUGCCAGCAGCCGCGGUAAUACGGAGGAUGCAAGCGUUACUCGGAAUCACUGGGUGUAAAGAGUGCGCAGGCGGGCUUGUAAGUGAGAUGUGAAAUCCUGUAGCUUAACUACAGAACUGCAUUUGAAACUAUGAGUCUUGAGUGUGGGAGAGGUAGGUGGAAUUCUUGGUGUAGGGGUAAAAUCCGUAGAUAUCAAGAGGAAUACUCAUUGCGAAGGCGACCUACUGGAACAUUACUGACGCUCAUGCACGAAAGCGUGGGGAGCAAACAGGAUUAGAUACCCCUGUAGUC
rnacentral:rRNA from 1 species